GAUGAACGCUGGCGGCGUGCCUAAUACAUGCAAGUCGAGCGAACGGACGAGAAGCUUGCUUCUCUGAUGUUAGCGGCGGACGGGUGAGUAACACGUGGAUAACCUACCUAUAAGACUGGGAUAACUUCGGGAAACCGUAGCUAAUACCGGAUAAUAUUUUGAACCGCAUGGUUCAAAAGUGAAAGACGGUCUUGCUGUCACUUAUAGAUGGAUCCGCGCUGCAUUAGCUAGUUGGUAAGGUAACGGCUUACCAAGGCAACGAUGCAUAGCCGACCUGAGAGGGUGAUCGGCCACACUGGAACUGAGACACGGUCCAGACUCCUACAGGAGGCAGCAGUAGGGAAUCUUCCGCAAAGGGCGAAAGCCUGACGGAGCAACGCCGCGUGAGUGAUGAAGGUCUUCGGAUCGUAAAACUCUGUUAUUAGGGAAGAACAUAUGUGUAAGUAACUGUGCACAUCUUGACGGUACCUAAUCAGAAAGCCACGGCUAACUACGUG
rnacentral:rRNA from 1 species